UACGGAGGGGGCUAGCGUUGUUCGGAAUUACUGGGCGUAAAGCGCACGUAGGCGGCUUUGCAAGUUAGAGGUGAAAGCCCGGGGCUCAACUCCGGAAUUGCCUUUAAAACUGCAUCGCUAGAAUUGUGGAGAGGUAAGUGGAAUUCCGAGUGUAGAGGUGAAAUUCGUAGAUAUUCGGAAGAACACCAGUGGCGAAGGCGACUUACUGGACACAUAUUGACGCUGAGGUGCGAAAGCGUGGGUAGCAAACAGG
rnacentral:rRNA from 1 species